rnacentral:rRNA from 1 species
AUUGAACGCUGGCGGCAGGCUUAACACAUGCAAGUCGGGCGGAAACGAAGAUAGCUUGCUAUCAGGCGUCGAGCGGCGGACGGGUGAGUAACGCGUAGGAAUCUACCUAAUGGUGGGGGAUAGCCCGGGGAAACUCGGAUUAAUACCGCAUACACUCUACGGAGGAAAGCAGGGGCUCUUAGGACCUUGCGCCAAUAGAUGAGCCUGCGUGAGAUUAGCUAGUUGGUGAGGUAAUGGCUCACCAAGGCGACGAUCUCUAGCUGGUCUGAGAGGAUGAUCAGCCACACUGGGACUGAGACACGGCCCAGACUCCUACGGGAGGCAGCAGUGGGGAAUAUUGGACAAUGGGGGCAACCCUGAUCCAGCCAUGCCGCGUGUGUGAAGAAGGCCUUCGGGUUGUAAAGCACUUUCAGCGAGGAGGAAGGCUGUAUGGCUAAUACCCAUACAGAUUGACGUUACUCGCAGAAGAAGGACCGGCUAACUCCGUGCC